CUUACACAUGCAAGUCGAGCGAAGCGCUUUACUUAGAAUUCUUCGGAAGGAAGAGUGGAGUGACUGAGCGGCGGACGGGUGAGUAACGCGUGGAUAACCUGCCUCAUACAGGGGGAUAACAGUCAGAAAUGGCUGCUAAUACCGCAUAAGGCCACAGUACCGCAUGGUACAGGGGUCAAAGGAGAGAUCCGGUAUAAGAUGAGCUCGCGUUCCAUUAGCUGGUUGGUGAGGUAACGGCCCACCAAGGCAACGAUGGGUAGCCGGCCUGAGAGGGUGAACGGCCACAUUGGGACUGAGACACGGCCCAAACUCCUACGGGAGGCAGCAGUGGGGGAUAUUGCGCAAUGGGGGAAACCCUGACGCAGCAACGCCGCGUGAGUGAAGGAGGCCUUCGGGUCGUAAAACUCUGUGACAGGGGAAGAAGAAAGUGACGGUACCCUGAGAGGAAGCCCCGGCUAACUACGUGCCAGCAGCCGCGGUAACACGUAGGGGGCAAGCGUUGUCCGGAAUUACUGGGCGUAAAGGGUGCGUAGGCGGCCGAGCAAGUCCGAUGUGAAAGACUACGGCUAAACUGUGGGGGUGCAUAGGAAACUGUCCGGCUUGAGUGCAGGAGAGGAAAGUGGAAUUCCUAGUGUAGCGGUGAAAUGCGUAGAGAUUAGGAAGAACACCAGUGGCGAAGGCGGUUCUCUGGACUGUAACUGACGCUGAGGCACGAAAGCGUGGGUAGCAAACAGGAUUAG
rnacentral:rRNA from 1 species